rnacentral:rRNA from 1 species
GACAGAGGGUGCAAACGUUGUUCGGAAUUACUGGGCGUAAAGGGCGCGUAGGCGGGAUGGCAAGUCGGUCGUGAAAUCCCUCGGCUCAACCGAGGAACGUCGAUCGAUACUGCUGUUCUUGAGGAUUGCAGAGGAGACUGGAAUUCCCGGUGUAGCGGUGAAAUGUGUAGAGAUCGGGAGGAACACCGGUGGCGAAGGCGGGUCUCUGGCCUGUUCUUGACGCUGAGGCGCGAAAGCUGGGGGAGCAAACGGG